rnacentral:rRNA from 1 species
UGCAAGUCGAGCGGUAAGGUCCCUUCGGGGAUACACGAGCGGCGGACGGCUGAGUAACACGUAGGAACGUACCCCAAAGUGAGGGAUAAGCACCAGAAAUGGUGUCUAAUACCGCAUGUGCUCUAAGGAGUAAAGCUUCGGCGCUUUGGGAACGGCCUGCGUCCGAUUAGCUAGUUGGUGAGGUAAAAGCUCACCAAGGCGACGAUCGGUAGCUGGUCUGAGAGGAUGAUCAGCCAGACUGGGACUGAGACACGGCCCAGACUCCUACGGGAGGCAGCAGUAGGGAAUUUUCCACAAUGGGCGAAAGCCUGAUGGAGCAACGCCGCGUGCAGGAUGAAUGCCUUAGGGUUGUAAACUGCUUUUAUAUGUGACGAUAAUGACGGUAGCAUAUGAAUAAGGAUCGGCUAACUCCGUGCCAGCAGCCGCGGUCAUACGGAGGAUCCAAGCGUUAUCCGGAAUUACUGGGCGUAAAGAGUUGCGUAGGUGGCAUGGUAAGUAGAUAGUGAAAGAGUGUGGCUCAACCAUAUACACAUUAUCUAAACUGCCAAGCUAGAGGAUGAGAGAGGUUAUUGGAAUUCCCAGUGUAGGAGUGAAAUCCGUAGAUAUUGGGAGGAACACCGAUGGCGUAGGCAGAUAACUGGCUCAUUCCUGACCCUAAGGCACGAAAGCGUGGGGAGCAAACGGGAUUAGAUACCCCGGUAGUCCACGCCGUAAACUAUGGAUGCUAGCUGUUAGAAGUAUCGACCCUUCUAGUAGCGAAGCUAACGCGUUAAGCAUCCCGCCUGUGGAGUACGGUCGCAAGACUA